CAUAUGUAUAUAUAUAUCUCAAACAAAUUUUUUUUUUUCAGGUAAAGUUGAAGUUGACAAUAUGCAUCACAUACUCAUACUUUAUACCCUCAUUCAUCAUGUUUUGGGAGAUCAGAUCACCCAAUUAGUUUUGCAUUAGAUAUGAUGCUCCCUUGAAAAGUCAUGCUAUGAAUUAGCUACACAUGUUACUGUCAUCAAUUUGUUAUUUGAUGGUAAGUCCUCAGAAGGCAUGCUCAUAUUCAGUUCCGCAUGCCAUAAUAAGCACACUUGAUCUUCUUAAUAUCUUAAAAUUUAAACAACCCUGUAGUACAAUUGCUUUCUGAUGUUUCAGAUUGUAUAGUGCAUAUUGUUUCUGUUUCGUAAUUGUUAGUUUAUUAUAUGGAAUAAGAACCUGUAGGUUGUUUAGCAUUAUUACUAAAAGGCAUUGCCAAAUCAAAACACUACUGAUGACAAACUUAUGGUGAAGGUAUAUUAAGCCUGUAUAUAUAUGUCAACAGGUGAAUUGAAAGCAUAAAUCAAACUACAUUUAUUCCUUUUAUUUAGGUUGAGUUAAAUGGAGCACUUGAAACCUUGUGUGAGCAAGGAUUUGGUGCAUGGUCAUAUAUAAUGUUGGGAUUUUAUCUGCAAGCUUUUUCCAAUCAUAUAUGCUUUCCUUAUUCUACAGUCUACAUCAUUCCAGGGUUGUAUACAGAAUUACAGAUUGAAUUAAAAGAAGUUCAUGAACACACCAAAUCGAACAAGCCAGAGAUAAUAAUCUAUGCCAUUCUGUACAUACUAGAACUGCCUAUUUUUACUUUAGAUACUGAGACCAAGAGAAGGAAAUACAUGAAAGAAGAAUGAGGGAAUGAGUAUGGUUUGAUUCUGCACUUUUUUUUUUUUUUUGAAUUUUGUUGCAGAUUUCACUGAGCUGUAAAUCAAGUUCAUGAAUUGUUCUGGUAAUUUCAAAUUGUUCUGCGCUUUCAGCCUUUUUCUAUCCAUCCAUAUACCUAUUGUUCUGUUAAUUUGUUACAAUGGUCUGCCUAUAUGUGUCUCCCAUGAAUUCAUUUCUCUGCAUUUUUGUUACAAUGGUCACUUUAAAAGAAACGAUAUGGUUUUAAGAUGGAGGCAAGUUUGAAAUAUAUUGUCAAAUUUUUUUAAAGAAAGGUAGAAAUAACUGAUACUGUGUAUGCAACUUUUUGAAUGUGAGAGGCUCAAGUUAUUAGGAAUUUUCAAAUUUUAAAAAAAAUGACCAUAUAGAUUUUCAGUUCAAAAACCCUAAAUUAGAUUGGCUUGCUGUUCAUUUUGCCUAUUGUCAGGCAAACUUAAAUCCAUAGUACAAUUGUAAAGGUAAGCUUUUGUCAAGGAGUUUGAAUUUAUUAUCAACUUGCAGUCCUUUGUAGAGAAACACUGAAAUGAGCAUGGAAAACCUGCUGUAGAGGUGGUGAUUCAGAAGAUCCAUGUUCUUAAUUGUCACACCCUGGAGAAAAAAGCUGAAGCUGGAGAGUGGGCUGAAUACCAUGUGGAAGCAGUUAAAACUAAAUGGAUCCUUGCAGUCAAGGAACAGUGGUCAGUGGUGAAAGAAUUUGUUGAACCUCAACAAAGUCUAUUGAAGCUUAUACAUGAAAGAGUACAUUAGCUCCCCAUGUUAUAAAAGCAUAAGAAUUUGUUGAUCCUUACUUUCAGGAGGCAAAGAAGUUGAGCAAGCCAUAUGUUGAUCACGUAGCCAUUGUUGCAAAACCUCAUCUUGAAAAAGUUAAAAGAGUGGUGUUGAAGCUCUAUACAAAGCAGGUGGUUCAGGCCUACGAGAAAUUUCUCAAAUCUGCUUCCACAUAUCAUCAUCAAGUAUUGGCGUUUUGUCAUGCUGUGUAACUUUGUGAUAAUCUCUAUGGUUUUUUGUAAUGCUAACGGUCCUUAAAAACAAUGUCAUGCUCUGUACUUAUCAGCCCUGGUUGUCAGGACCAUUCUCUAUGUUUUUUGUAAUGCUAAUGGUCCCUGAAAAACAA